rnacentral:lncRNA from 1 species
GCAAUGCCUGGCUUUUUUUGUGUCCAAAUACCAUUGCCUCCAUCUUGUGUAAGCCCGGUGGUCCUACUUUAGUUCUUAUUUCUGUUGAAAUGUCAUGAAAUCCAAGACCUUGGAUUCAGGCAUCUCAGGCUGAGACCUACUUCAACCUGUAUUUUCCGUGCAUUGACUCCAGAACCGCCCACCUCAGCACUUUUCAACAGGAUCCACACCUUCUAUUGAUAACAUUUAUCUUGCUGUGUUUCUACAUCCAACUUCUCAUCUAGCUUAGAAGUAAGAAGACCCUUUAUUACAGUUAUGCCUUAAAGAGGUACUUGUGUAGCUACUGACAUCUGGGUCCUGGG